rnacentral:lncRNA from 1 species
UAUAUAUAUAUAUAGAAUUGAGCUAGAAUACUUUUAUAAGUAUUACCCCCAUGAUGCUAUUAGGUUUUUAGCCAUUGGAUCUACUCCUUGAUUACUAAUAGUCCUUGGAUCAAACACUAUUCCACCUACCACCACCUACCACCACCUACCACCAUCAUCUCAACCUCACAUCUAUUCAUCCAAUGGCUAAAAACUCAAAAGCACCACUCACAUAAUACUUUUACAAGUAUUCUAGCUCAACUCUAUAUAUAUAUAUAUAUAUAUAUAUAUAUAUUACAAAAUAAAUUUCGGUUCGGGUCGGGUAUAGUCAAAAUCCUUAUCCGUCGGGUUUCUAUGUUUUAUAUUCAUAUCCGAAUUCAUAUCCAAUUAGUAUCGGAUAUAUCCAUUUCAUUUGGUUUCAGAUUCGGAUAAAAUUUCGGAUAUUUAUACCCAUUGACAUCCGUAGCUGUGGCACUCGAUAUAUAUAUAUUUGAAAAUAACCGAUUUACCUCUAUUUUUUUUUUUUUUAAAUGCCUCUCAUAUGUUCCACCGUUAUUGUAAAAUACUCCGGCAGCUAUCUCAUGUUAAGUUAACUUGGAUUAAACGUAAAUUAAAUAUCUACCAUAAUUAAAAAAAAUUAAAAUGCUAAUUUUGCCCUUAACUUAAUAGCAAAUAAGAAAUGUUAGUGACGGUAGAGGAAUAUAUUUGAAAAGACCAAAAGUCAAAAUACUUUUUGUGUUCCUGAUUUUAAGGGCAAAUAAGAAAGUCGGUGAUGAUGGAAGGGUAUAUUUGAAAGGACAAAAUAGUAUUUUCAAUAUUAGCCUUCUAAGAGGGGUAAAUCGGAAAGUCGAGAAUUUUUCAGGAGUAUAUAAGCAAUUGCCCCAUACAUAUAUAUAUAUAUAUAUAUAUAUAUAUAUGUAUAU